UAGGAUCUUAGUGUUAUACCAUUUUUGACAUCCAUUAUUUAACUAAGAGUUUUAGUACUCUUAUAGCCUAUAGUGACUGCAGUUUUGAUGUGAUAUAUAUUUGUUAUUUUACAUGCAUGUACAUGCCUUGGAACCUGGUAUAAAUAGCAGUGAUUGAAUUUUAGAUCUCCUGUAUGCUGUAUACAUAUUCAUAGGAUAUUCCAAGACAGAAUAUUCUCUUGGAUUCUCUUCAGCUUGUUCUGUGUUGGUCAGUCUUUCUGUUGACAGUUUUGUAUUUAGGUCACACAGGAGCCCUCGGGCAGCAGUAAAGCAUGUCCUCUACGGGAGUGAUUGACACCUUCUCUGAUGAUGAAUGAAGUCUCCAGCUUCUCUGGGCUCCAGCCACAGUAAUAAACCAGCGCUGCACACUGACGGAUGCAAUCAUCUUUUAUUUCCCAUUAAUGAAACAGCACCUCAUUUUAUGGCCUACUGAACCGAACAGCAUUAAAUUGAGAGGUCUUCAGCCGCAGCGAUGUUAACGUCCCGUGGCUGUUCUCCAGUGAUGAGUCCAGAUGGAGGAUAUGUUGGUACCUGCCCUUUUAUUUCCAUUGCCAGCUCACUCCCUCCAGCCCCAGGUACACCUCCACACCAUCUGUGCCAACCUGCCGUCUCUCCGUCAGACAGUUGCAGGUUCGGCGGUGCGUGGCAGGCCUACAGCUGUGCAGACAGCCAGCCCAACAUCUGUGUGUCCUGUGGGACAGACGGGGGGAGAUGUCCCGCUGAUCUUCUCAGUUGCUGCUGGCCUUAAACACAGGCAUGAGCCGGCGCUUCUGCGGACAGGAUGAGUUUUGCAAUUGCCCCGUUUUAUUGCAUUGCGCCUGUAGAGACCUGCUGGGCGUGGAUCGGUGUGGACAGCCAAUAGCAGGCCAGCAGAAAACAUCCAUUCCCCAUGCAGAGGAACAUCCGGACAUCCAGUAAGAUUCUGUCAUUUAUUGUAAGCCAUAUUCCAGAUGAAAUGAAGCAGCAUGUGUGUAGAGUCUGGGGAGAGCUGUAGGCAUGUGUGCUUUUGUAAGGGAUUCUCCAGUCCAACAGCUGCAAGAGCGGCAGCUCUGGUGCUGAUGCUCCACCACAGAAAUGCUUGUUAGGGCAGAAUAUAGCCAGAGCUCCAGGGACCAUCCAGACACAGUGACUAUUCAUAACUGUAAUGGGUAUCAACCACGUCGACAAAAAAACCCCCUGUGAACGAGAGUGAGAGAUCUGCUGAAAAUACAAAUUUAUGGGAAACACUUAUUGUAUCAAAACUAAAAACGCUGUCCAAAAGAAUCAUCCUGAACCGUUGCAUAGAAAUGAUAUCACAUCAAGAGUUUCAGUAUUGUUCCAGGACAAGAACAUAAUAGGAACUAAGGUACUAAAGAGCAUGUUUUAAUGCAUAACAUUUUCUACAAAACUAAAACACAUGCAAACCUCAUCACAAAUCCUUG